GCGGAGGCGCAGGGCUCCGCGGUGGGACGCGGUCACCGUAACGAGCGCGGCGCUGCCGGGAGUGCCCCCGAAGCGCCUCCCUCCAUGGCUGGGGCUCUGCGGGGAUGGGGUUGUCCCUCUCCGCAGCGAAAUCUCUCUCUCCGUGUGACUGGCGCUUUGGAUGCGUGGGAGUGCGAGCGGGUGCAGACCUUCAGAAGAGAUCUGAUCCCCCAAGAUAGCCCGAGGGAG